UUACAUACUAGCUCAUUUGGUAGAGCACUCGGCAGUUAACCGAAAGGUCGCAGGUUCAAUUCCUGCGUAUGAAA
rnacentral:tRNA from 1 species